UACGGAGGGUGCAAGCGUUAAUCGGAAUUACUGGGCGUAAAGGGUGCGUAGGCGGUUUAAUAAGUUAAGUGUUAAAGACCUGGGCUUAACCUGGGGGAGUCACUUAAGACUGUUAGACUGGAGUAUGGGAGAGGGUAGUGGAAUUUCCGGUGUAGCGGUGGAAUGCGUAGAGAUCGGAAGGAACACCAGUGGCGAAGGCGGCUACCUGGCCCAAUACUGACGCUGAGGCACGAAAGCGUGGGGAGCAAACAGG
rnacentral:rRNA from 1 species